GGAAUAUUGUUGUGCAUAACAGGUACAUUUAUAACAUGUGCAUUUGCAGAAUUGAAAUGCCUUGGAUGUUUUGUGACUAUGAAUUUCAAGUUCGGCCUGAUAUGUGUUUGCUAUGUUUCUCUAAGCCAAUACAAUCUACCGGUACAGUUUGCCAUCCAGGACUCAGUGUCAAUGGAUUAUAUUGUAGGAAACAGACGUUUGGAUCAUAUUUUAUUUAACUACCUGAGAAUGCCAAUAUUAUGCAUGAUUUGUAUGCAGGUUCAGAGGCAAUGUUUGCUG
rnacentral:misc_RNA from 1 species